GAUCCUGGCUCAGGAUGAACGCUAGCUACAGGCUUAACACAUGCAAGUCGAGGGGCAGCAUAAAAGGAACUUCGGUUCUUUUUUGAUGGCGACCGGCGCACGGGUGCGUAACGCGUAUCGAACCUGCCUCAUACUCGGGGAUAGCCUUGCGAAAGUAAGAUUAAUACCCGGCGGUCUCGGAUGGCCGCAUGACUAUCCGAGUGAAGAUUUAUCGGUAUGAGAUGGCGAUGCGUCCCAUUAG
rnacentral:rRNA from 1 species